GAUCAUACACAUUGAAACACUGGUUCUCAUCUGAUCACCAAAGUUAAGCAAUGUCAGUACCUUGAUGGGUGACCACUCAGGAAUAACAGGGGCUGUAAG